CCCUUAGAUGUUCUGGGCCGCACGCGUGCUACACUGAGUGGAUCAGCGGGUCAGGUUGCGCGAAAGUGUUUCCUAAUCUUUAAAUCCGCUCGUGAUGGGGAUUGACGGUUGCAAUUUUUCGUCAUGAACGAGGAAUACCUUGUAAGCGCGGGUCAUCAUCCCGCGCUGAAUACGUCCCUGCCCUUUGUACACACCGCCCGUCGCUCCUACCGAUUGAGUGGUCCGGUGAGGCUUUGGGAUCUGAGCGGAAAGAGCGUUUCGCUGUUUCUGCCCGGAAAACUCAGUCGAACCUUAUCAUUUAGAGGAAGGAGAAGUCGUAACA
rnacentral:rRNA from 1 species